ACAGUGGACGCGAGCAUCUGUGGCCAAGUUUUUAAGGGCGCACGGUGGAUGCCUUGGCACCAGGAACCGAUGAAGGACGUGGGAGGCCACGAUAGGCCCCGGGGAGCUGUCAACCGAGCUUUGAUCCGGGGGUGUCCGAAUGGGGAAACCCGGCAGUCGUCAUGGGCUGUCACCCGCUGCUGAACACAUAGGCAGUGUGGAGGGAACGCGGGGAAGUGAAACAUCUCAGUACCCGCAGGAAGAGAAAACAACCGUGAUUCCGGGAGUAGUGGCGAGCGAAACUGGAUGAGGCCAAACCAGUCACGUGUGAUACCCGGCAGGGGUUGCGUGGUUGGGGUUGUGGGAUCUCUCUUUUGCAGUCUGCCGGCUGUGAGGCGAGUCAGAAACCGUUGAUGUAGGCGAAGGACAUGCGAAAGGUCCGGCGUAGAGGGUAAGACCCCCGUAGCUGAAACAUUAGCGGCUCGUUUGAGAGACACCCAAGUAGCACGGGGCCCGAGAAAUCCCGUGUGAAUCUGGCGGGACCACCCGUUAAGCCUAAAUAUUCCCUGGUGACCGAUAGCGGAUAGUACCGUGAGGGAAUGGUGAAAAGUACCGCGGGAGCGGAGUGAAAUAGUACCUGAAACCGUGUGCCUACAAGCCGUGGGAGCGUCGCUGGUGAGUUUACUCAUCAGUCGUGACUGCGUGCCUUUUGAAGAAUGAGCCUGCGAGUUUGCGGUAUGUUGCGAGGUUAACCCGUGUGGGGAAGCCGUAGCGAAAGCGAGUCCGAAUAGGGCGUGGAGUAGCAUGCUCAAGACCCGAAGCGGAGUGAUCUAGCCAUGGGCAGGUUGAAGCGGAGGUAAGACUUCGUGGAGGACCGAACCCACCAGGGUUGAAAACCUGGGGGAUGACCUGUGGUUAGGGGUGAAAGGCCAAUCAAACUCCGUGAUAGCUGGUUCUCCCCGAAAUGCAUUUAGGUGCAGCGUCGUGUGUUUCUUGCCGGAGGUAGAGCACUGGAUAGGCGAUGGGCCCUACCGGGUUACUGACCUUAGCCAAACUCCGAAUGCCGGUAAGUGAGAGCGCGGCAGUGAGACUGUGGGGGAUAAGCUCCAUGGUCGAGAGGGAAACAGCCCAGAGCAUCGACUAAGGCCCCUAAGCGUGUGCUAAGUGGGAAAGGAUGUGGAGUCGCAGAGACAACCAGGAGGUUGGCUUAGAAGCAGCCACCCUUGAAAGAGUGCGUAAUAGCUCACUGGUCAAGUGAUUCCGCGCCGACAAUGUAGCGGGGCUCAAGUACACCGCCGAAGUCGUGUCAUUGCGAUAUUACUCCUAACGGGGAUCGUGAUGGGUAGGGGAGCGUCGUGUGCCGGGUGAAGCAGCCGUGGAAACGAGUUGUGGACGGUUCACGAGUGAGAAUGCAGGCAUGAGUAGCGAUACAAGAGUGGGAAACUCUUGCGCCGAUUGACUAAGGGUUCCUGGGUCAAGCUGAUCUGCCCAGGGUAAGUCGGGACCUAAGGCGAGGCCGACAGGCGUAGUCGAUGGACAACCGGUUGAUAUUCCGGUACCCGCUUUGAAGCGCCCAAUACUGAAUCAGGCGAUGCUAAGUCCGUGAAGCCGCCCUGGAGCCUUCGGGUGAAGGGGAGUGGUGGAGCCGACGGACCAGACUUGUAGUAGGUAAGCGAUGGGGUGACGCAGGAAGGUAGUCCAGCCCGGGCGGUGGUUGUCCCGGGGUAAGGGUGUAGGCCGUGUGGUAGGUAAAUCCGUCGCACGUUAAGGCUGAGACCUGAUGCCGAGCCGAUUGUGGUGAAGUGGAUGAUCCUAUGCUGUCGAGAAAAGCCUCUAGUGAGUUUCAAGGCGGCCCGUACCCUAAACCGACUCAGGUGGUCAGGUAGAGAAUACCGAGGCGUUCGGGUGAACUAUGGUUAAGGAACUCGGCAAAAUGCCCCCGUAACUUCGGGAGAAGGGGGGCCAUUUCUGGUGAGGGAACUUGCUUCCUGAGCUGGGGGUGGCCGCAGAGACCAGCGAGAAGCGACUGUUUACUAAAAACACAGGUCCGUGCGAAGCCGUAAGGCGAUGUAUACGGACUGACGCCUGCCCGGUGCUGGAACGUUAAGGGGACCGGUUAGCUUGGAUUCGUUCAGGCGAAGCUGAGAACUUAAGCGCCAGUAAACGGCGGUGGUAACUAUAACCAUCCUAAGGUAGCGAAAUUCCUUGUCGGGUAAGUUCCGACCUGCACGAAUGGCGUAACGACUUCUCGACUGUCUCAACCAUAGGCCCGGUGAAAUUGCAUUACGAGUAAAGAUGCUCGUUUCGCGCAGCAGGACGGAAAGACCCCGGGACCUUUACUAUAGCUUGAUAUUGGUGUUCGGUUCGGCUUGUGUAGGAUAGGUGGGAGACUGUGAAGCGCCAACGCCAGUUGGUGUGGAGUCGUUGUUGAAAUACCACUCUGGUCGUGCUGGAUGUCUAACCUGGGUCCGUGAUCCGGAUCAGGGACAGUGUCUGGUGGGUAGUUUAACUGGGGCGGUUGCCUCCUAAAGAGUAACGGAGGCGCCCAAAGGUUCCCUCAGCCUGGUUGGUAAUCAGGUGUUGAGUGUAAGUGCACAAGGGAGCUUGACUGUGAGACUGACGGGUCGAGCAGGUACGAAAGUAGGGACUAGUGAUCCGGCGGUGGCUUGUGGAAGCGCCGUCGCUCAACGGAUAAAAGGUACCCCGGGGAUAACAGGCUGAUCUUCCCCAAGAGUCCAUAUCGACGGGAUGGUUUGGCACCUCGAUGUCGGCUCGUCGCAUCCUGGGGCUGGAGUCGGUCCCAAGGGUUGGGCUGUUCGCCCAUUAAAGCGGUACGCGAGCUGGGUUUAGAACGUCGUGAGACAGUUCGGUCCCUAUCCGCUGUGCGCGUAGGAGUCUUGAGAAGGGCUGUCCCUAGUACGAGAGGACCGGGACGGACGAACCUCUGGUGUGCCAGUUGUUCUGCCAAGGGCAUGGCUGGUUGGCUACGUUCGGAAAGGAUAACCGCUGAAAGCAUCUAAGCGGGAAGCCUGCUUCGAGAUGAGGGCUCCCUCCUCCUUGAGAGGGUAAGGCUCCCAGUAGACGACUGGGUUGAUAGGCCAGAUAUGGAAGCACUGUAAGGUGUGGAGUUGACUGGUACUAAUAGGCCGAGGGCUUGUCCUCAGUUG
rnacentral:rRNA from 2 species